UUUUCUUUUCUUUCCUUUCUUAUUUUUUCUUCUUCUUCUUCUCUGUUGCUUUCACCCUUCCAUAUUUCGAUUCUUUUCUCUUCCUUUCUCCAUUUUAUUGUCUUCUCUGUGCCACCGUCUCUUCCUUUUCUUCUAAGUUUUACUCACUGACUGUCGUUUAGAUCUAGCCACAGACAAAUCUACAUUGUGAAUAAUUUAUGUUUUAUAUGAACCUUUUAUAUGAAUGUUUUACUCUUCUAUAUUUAAUGUUUUAUAUUCUUUGAUUUAUAGAGUAUAUGAUGUUGAGUAGACUAUGGGUUUUUGUUUUGUAAUUUGUACACUACGAGAAAACUGACUUAUAAUUGAUAUUCUUGACAGUUUUAAUUAAAACUAUCAAGUAACAUGAAAAAGCGUUAAGAAUAAGAAAGAAUGAAAAAACCAUAAUUUUUAUUUUUUAAGUUUUAAAUACUUGACAAGUUAAAGCGUCGGGAUUAAUUUUAAUUACUUGAAAAAUUUUAAAUAUCAAAUAAUAUAUAUUUUUUACUCUUUCAAUUAAAAUAUUUCUCUCUUUUAAUUUAACUUUCCCAAAUUUUCCAUUUUCACCCAAAUUUUGUAAAAAAAAAAACCCUAAUUUCCCCCCCCCCCCCAUAUUUUCUCUUUGUUGAAGAAAGCACUUCCACACCGUGUCUGCCCCUUUCCAAUGGAUCUCUUCUUCCGCUCGCAGCGUUUCUGGUGGAUCUCUGUUUUUGCUCGCAACGUUUCCAGUUGAUCUCCUCAAGCCGCCGCAGUCUCUUCGUCUGCUUGUAGCGUCCGCCACUAGUUCGUCAGCCACAAGUUGCGUCUCCAGCCGUUUCUGGAUGUUUCCAAUCCAUAUCGAUCUAUCUGCUUAAGUCGUCGUCGUCUGUUAACUUUUCCAAUUGUGUUCGUCGUCGUUUCGGCUCGUUGCAUCCGCCACCACCAGUUUUUCCGACGCUGUCUAUUCGUCUGUCUGCUGCGUCUGCCAGUUCGUCUGCUCAUCUGCUCGUUGUGUCCACCGCCAUCACCAGAUUUCAAGGAGUUGGUGAUAACAAUCGGUGAGACUUUGAGUUUGGAGUUAUCUAAGAGUGUGGUUCUUGGAGGAGGGUGAUGUCUCUGUUUCUUAUUAUUACAUGUACAUUGUGUUUUAUGAUUAAGAAUGAUGAUCAUAGCUCGUUUUGUAAUAUGAAUAAGGACGAUGUUCCUAUGUUGUAAGUAAGUAAUAACCAACUAUAUGUAUAUUCAAGGAUAUAAAUGUAAUUUGUUAGUUCUUUGAUUGAAA